rnacentral:tRNA from 1 species
GCCGGGGUGGCGGAAUGGCAGACGCAGCGGGCUUAAAACCUGCGGCCGAAAGGCGUGAGGGUUCGACCCCCUCCCCCGGUACCA